UCAAACAAUUGGUAAAACUUGAAAGCAAUUUGAAGAGAAAGAAUCUGUUACAGUUAUUGUAAGACCUGCGCGUCAUUGUUUUGGUCGUUCCACCUCAAAUAUUGCUAAUGUGAGAGAAAUUGUAGUCGGAGACCCGAGUGUGACCAUUUCUCGGCGUUCUCAAAAGCACAUUACAGCAUUUUCAGGACUUGAAAUUACAUGUACGUCUCACACAACAACUGAGGCAAACUGAUCAUUCACAACGCCAUACAUACGACGAUCGGAUGCUUGAACAACAAGUAGUAGACGGCGAUUUUUCUCACUAAGGGGAUACGGAGUGUUGGACUUUGCUUCUUUGAAAACCACAAUGGCGAGACUGUCACUGUCGAUUUGGAGCGUUAUAGUCGUAUGAUAAUCAACAUUUUUGGCCGGCAUUUUAAGAAAACGCCAUUCGCAGACGAUGAGCUUGUGCGUUUUAAACACUAAAAAUUUCAUUUUGUUUUGAUAAAAUGAAAUAACAAAAUCAUUUCGAUCGAAGUUUGCAAGGAUCGCGAGGCGGUGAUUUGAAAGAUAUAGCCUUUUUACAGACAUAUAAUGCCAAGAUUCAAACUUUCUACUAAAAAAGGAACUCCUUGAAAAAAAUUAUUUUAAAUUCACUUGAAUUUACGUUUGUUUUCAAAGCCUCAAAGUGGAUAGAUCAUAAAUAUAGCUAAAUGAUCCAUAAGAAGUCUGAUGAAGAGAUAUGGUGAUAUCCGAAGCAGCUGUCACUUCUACCUUUUUCGUUUGGUGUAUAACAAA